rnacentral:rRNA from 1 species
AUACGGAGGACGCGAGCGUUAUCCGGAUUCAUUGGGUUUAAAGGGUGCGCAGGCGGCCGUGCAAGUCAGCGGUGAAAGCCCGGGGCUCAACCCCGGAAGUGCCGUUGAUACUGCAUGGCUGGAAUGCGGUCGAGGCGGGCGGGACGGGGCGGGUAGCGGGGGAAUGCGUAGAUAUGCCACAGAACGCCGAUAGCGGAGGCAGCUCGCCAGGCCUGCAUUGACGCUCGGGCACGAAAGCGUGGGGAUCGAACAGGAUUAGAUACCCUGGUAGUCCACGCCGUAAACGAUGGGCGCUCGUCGUCGGCGGCAGACAGUCGGCGGCCAAGCGAAAGCGAUAAGCGCCCCACCUGGGGAGUACGGUCGCAAGGCUGAAACUCAAAUGAAUUGACGGGG